UAACGGGGGCAACUUCCCUUUAUUAGGGAAAACAGUGGAAACGGUUGUUAAACCGUUAACUCCUUCGGGAAAAAAGUUUUUUGGGAAGGAAGGGCCCGCUUUAGAUUAGGUUGUGGGGGGGUAAGGGCUCACCAAGGGGACGAUCUAAAGUUGUUUGAGGGGAUGAUCAGCCACACGGGGAUUGAGACACGGCCCAGAUUCUUACGGGAGGCAGCAGUGGGGAAUAUUGGACAAUGGGCGCAAGCCUGAUCCAGCAACGCCGCGUGAAUGAUGAAGGCCUUAGGGUUGUAAAAUUCUUUCGCUAGGGAAGAUAAUGACUGUACCUAGUAAAGAAGCCCCGGCUAACUCCGUGCCAGCAGCCGCGGUAAUACGGAGGGGGCUAGCGUUGUUUGGAAUUACUGGGCGUAAAGCGUGCGUAGGCGGAUUAAUAAGUCAGAUGUGAAAUCCCAGGGCUCAACCCCGGAACUGCAUUUAAAACUGUUAGUCUUGAGUUCUGGAGAGGUAAGUGGAAUUGCUAGUGUAGAGGUGAAAUUUGUAGAUAUUAGCAGGAACACCAGAGGCGAAGGCGGCUUACUGGACAGAUACUGACGCUGAGGCACGAAAGUGUGGGGAGCAAACAGGAUUAGAUACCCUGGUAGUCCACACCGUAAACUAUGAGAGCUAGUUGUCUGCAUGCAUGCAUGUAGGUGACGCAGCUAACGCAUUAAGCUCUCCGCCUGGGGAGUACGGUCGCAAGAUUAAAACUCAAAGAAAUUGACGGGGGCCCGCACAAGCGGUGGAGCAUGUGGUUUAAUUCGAAGCAACGCGCAGAACCUUACCUACCCUUGACAUGCCGGUCGCGAUUUCCAGAGAUGGAUUUCUUCAAUUCGGUUGGACCGUG
rnacentral:rRNA from 1 species